CGUCAGGUAGCUCAAUGGUCUAGAGCAGUCGCCCGGCAAGCGAAAGACACCGGGUUCGAUUCCCGGUCUAGCGA
rnacentral:tRNA from 1 species